rnacentral:tmRNA from 1 species
GGGGACGACACGGUAUUGACGGGUUGAUAAGUGUAUCGUAUAAGCAUGCAGUGGGUUGUAGAAAUUCCACUUGAAUCCAUUUCUGCACAAUUAUAAAUGGCGAAAGAAAUUACGCUCUCGCUGCCUAGUUAGACUAAGUAGCCAGAUGUCUCUCGGGAGUUUUUUACUACCGGAUUCCCAAAUGAGGGACACAUCAAAACCAGAUAGUAUGCGGCGCGGGAAUCUCCCGACCCAAGCCUAAGAUAAGGGAGAAACUCUGAAGGUAAGACCUGUCGGUCGGUUCGCCUCCAGAGUAUCAAAGAUCGACUAAGCAUGUAGAAGGCCUUACAUCUGUUUUCUCCGGACGAGGGUUCGAUUCCCUCCGUCUCCACAA